rnacentral:piRNA from 1 species
UCCAGAUGAUCCUGUCUGAGUGAUCCACA